rnacentral:rRNA from 1 species
CCUACGGUGCGCAGCAGUGGGGGAUAUUGCACAAUGGGGGGAACCCUGAUGCAGCGACGCCGCGUGGGUGAAGGAGCGUUUCGGCGCGUAAAGCCCUAUCGGCAGGGAAGAAGAUGACGGUACCUGACCAAGAAGCCCCGGCUAACUACGUGCCAGCAGCCGCGGUAAUACGUAGGGGGCAAGCGUUAUCCGGAUUUACUGGGUGUAAAGGGGGCGCAGACGGCAAUGCAAGCCAGGAGUGAAAGCCCGGGGCCCAACGCCGGGACUGCUCUUGGAACUGCAUGGUGGGAGUACAGGAGGGGCAGGAGGAAUGGCUGGGGGAGCGUGGAAAGGGGGAGAUAUAAGGAGG